rnacentral:rRNA from 1 species
UAAAGAACCUGCCUUAUAGACUGGGACAACUAUUGGAAACGAUAGCUAAUACCGGAUAACAGCAUUAACUGCAUGGUUGAUGUUUAAAAGUUGGUUAUGCUAACACUAUGAGAUGGCUUUGCGGUGCAUUAGCUAGUUGGUGGGGUAAAGGCCUACCAAGGCGACGAUGCAUAGCCGACCUGAGAGGGUGAUCGGCCACACUGGGACUGAGACACGGCCCAG